GCGCUUGUAGCUCAACUGGAUAGAGCGUAUGGCUUCGGACCAUAAGGUUGCGGGUUCGAGUCCUGCCAAGCGCG
rnacentral:tRNA from 1 species